rnacentral:rRNA from 1 species
GUGCCAGCAGCCGCGGUAAUACAGAGGGUGCAAGCGUUAAUCGGAAUUACUGGGCGUAAAGCGCACGUAGGCGGCUUCGUAAGUCGGGUGUGAAAUCCCCGGGCUCAACCUGGGAACUGCAUUCGAGACUGCGGAGCUGGAGUAUGGAAGAGGAAGGCGGAAUUCCAGGUGUAGCGGUGAAAUGCGUAGAUAUCUGGAGGAACAUCAGUGGCGAAGGCGGCCUUCUGGUCCAAUACUGACGCUCAGGUGCGAAAGCGUGGGGAGCAAACAGGAUUAGAAACCCUAGUAGUCC